rnacentral:sRNA from 1 species
AGUUUGAUCAUGGCUCAGAUUGAACGCUGGCGGCAGGCCUAACACAUGCAAGUCGAGCGGUAGCACAAGAGAGCUUGCUCUCUGGGUGACGAGCGGCGGACAGGUGAGUAAUGUCUGGGAAACUGCCCGAUGGCGGGGGAUAACUAGUGGAAACGGUAGCUAAUACCGCAUAACGUCGCAAGACCAAAGUGGGGGACCUUCGGGCCUCACGCCAUCAGAUGUGCCCAGGUGGGAUUAGCUGGUAGGUGGGGUAACGGCUCACCUAGGCGACGAUCCCUAGCUGGUCUGAGAGGAUGACCAGCCACACUGGAACUGAGACACGGUCCAGACUCCUACGGGAGGCAGCAGUGGGGAAUAUUGCACAAUGGGCGCAAGCCUGAUGCAGCCAUGCCGCGUGUGUGAAGAAGGCCUUCGGGUUGUAAAGCACUUUCAGCGAAGAGGAAGAGUAAUGUGCUAAUAAGACAUUGCAUUGACGUUACUCGCAGAAGAAGCACCGGCUAACUCCGUGCCAGCAGCCGCGGUAAUACGGAGGGUGCAAGCGUUAAUCGGAAUUACUGGGCGUAAAGCGCACGCAGGCGGUUUGUUAAGUCAGAUGUGAAAUCCCCGCGCUCAACGUGGGAACGGCAUUUGAGACUGGCAAGCUAGAGUCUUGUAGAGGGGGGUAGAAUUCCAGGUGUAGCGGUGAAAUGCGUAGAGAUCUGGAGGAAUACCGGUGGCGAAGGCGGCCCCCUGGACAAAGACUGACGCUCAGGUGCGAAAGCGUGGGGAGCAAACAGGAUUAGAUACCCUGGUAGUCCACGCUGUAAACGAUGUCGAUUUGGAGGUUGCGCCCUUGAGGGGUAGCUUCCGUAGCUAACGCGUUAAAUCGACCGCCUGGGGAGUACGGCCGCAAGGUUAAAACUCAAAUGAAUUGACGGGGGCCCGCACAAGCGGUGGAGCAUGUGGUUUAAUUCGAUGCAACGCGAAGAACCUUACCUACUCUUGACAUCCAGAGAACUUUCCAGAGACGGAGGGGUGCCUUCGGGAGCUCUGAGACAGGUGCUGCACGGCUGUCGUCAGCUCGUGUUGUGAAAUGUUGGGUUAAGUCCCGCAACGAGCGUAACCCUUAUCCUUUGUUGCCAGCGAUAAAGUCGGGAACUCAAAGGAGACUGCCGGUGAUAAACCGGAGGAAGGCGGGGAUGACGUCAAGUCAUCAUGGCCCUUACGAGUAGGGCUACACACGUGCUACAAUGGCGUAUACAAAGAGAAGCGACCUCGCGAGAGCAAGCGGACCUCACAAAGUACGUCGUAGUCCGGAUUGGAGUCUGCAACUCGACUCCAUGAAGUCGGAAUCGCUAGUAAUCGUAGAUCAGAAUGCUGCGGUGAAUACGUUCCCGGGCCUUGUACACACCGCCCGUCACACCAUGGGAGUAGGUUGCAAAAGAAGUAGGUAGCUUAACCUUCGGGAGGGCGCUUACCACUUUGUGAUUCAUGACUGGGGUGAAGUCGUAACAAGGUAACCGUAGGGGAACCUGCGGUUGGAUCACCUCCUUACCGAAAGAUACUGAUUUGUGUGGCGUGCUCACACAGAUUGUCUGAUGAAAGUAGCGAGCAGAAUACCUUAAUAGGCUUGUAGCUCAGUUGGUUAGAGCGCACCCCUGAUAAGGGUGAGGUCGGUGGUUCAAGUCCACUCAGGCCUACCACUUCUCUUCUAUGCUGCGUCAUGGUACCGCUCGCAUAUUUCAAUAUGCGAGCGGUACCAUGCCUUGCCUAGAAAAGAAGCUGUGAUCUCAAAGAUCUCUGCAAGUGACAGUACGGGGCUAUAGCUCAGCCGGAAGAGCGCCUGCCUUGCACGCAGGAGGUCAGCGGUUCGAUCCCGCUUAGCUCCACCAUAAAGUCCGAGUGCGGUGUUUCACUACUUCAGAGUGUACUGGCAACAAUAUGCCGCGAAGUAUUUUGCUCUUUAACAAUCUGGAACAAGCUGAAAAUUGAAAAAUGACGGCUGAAGCUUAUCCCUGCGUAGAGGUAUUGGGUAAGGGUCAAGCUGUCAUGGUGACACUCACCUUUUUGCAAUGCGAAGUGAGACACCUUCGGGUUGUAAGGUUAAGUGACUAAGCGUACACGGUGGAUGCCUAGGCAGUCAGAGGCGAUGAAGGGCGUGCUAAUCUGCGAAAAGCGCCGGUAAGGUGAUAUGAACCGUUAUAGCCGGCGAUACCCGAAUGGGGAAACCCAGUGUGAUACAUCACACUAUCGUUAAGUGAAUACAUAGCUUGACGAAGCGAACCGGGGGAACUGAAACAUCUAAGUACCCCGAGGAAAAGAAAUCAACCGAGAUCCCCCCAGUAGCGGCGAGCGAACGGGGGCCAGCCCAGAACCUGAAUCAGCGGGUGUAUUAGUGGAAGCGUCUGGAAAGUCGCGCAGUAAAGGGUGAUAGCCCCGUACACAAAAAUGCACUGGCUGUGAGUUCGAUGUGUAGGGCGGGACACGUGACAUCCUGUCUGAAUAUGGGGGGACCAUCCUCCAAGGCUAAAUACUCCUGACUGACCGAUAGUGAACCAGUACCGUG